GACGUAGGUGGCUAAUGUUACUCGGAUUUACUGGGUUUAAAGGGUGCGUAGGCGGGCGCCUAAGUCGGCGGUGAAAGGCAGCGGCUCAACCGUUGAGCUGCCGUUGAUACUGGGCGCCUUGGAUUCGGUCGAGGCCGGCGGAAUGCGCGGUGUAGCGGUGAAAUGCUUAGAUAUCGCGCGGAACGCCGAUUGCGAAGGCAGCUGGCCGGGCCGAGAUUGACGCUGAGGCACGAAAGCGUGGGGAU
rnacentral:rRNA from 1 species